rnacentral:ncRNA from 1 species
ACGGUAAUGUGGGAGGGGAAUUCAUCUGCUUGUGUCCUAAUUAGAGAGGACAAAAGCAAUGGACAGUUGGUCCAGCUCACAUGGUUCUAGCUGAAAAUUUAAACAUGAGCACUUUCCCUUCGACGGGUGUCAAAACCACUGCACUAGGUCAGCUGCAGACAAGAGCAGACCUUUCAGUGGACAUUUUGGACGAGUGUGAUCCAGAUCCUGGAGAAUUUCUUUGAAGACUUAUAGGAGAGGCCUGUGGUGGGUGUUGACGUGAUGUGAUUUCUGCCCAGUGCUCUGAAUGUCAAAGUGAAGAAAUUCAAUGAAGCGCAGGAGUAACUAUGACUCUCUUAAGGUAGCCAAAUGCCUCGUCAUCUAAUUAGUGACGUGCAUGAAUGGAUGAACGAGAUUCCCACUGUCCCUACCUACUAUCCAGCGAAACCACAGCCAAGGGAACGGGCUUGGCGGAAUCAGCGGGGAAAGAAGACCCUGUUGAGCUUGACUCUAGUCUGGCACGGUGAAGAGACAUGAGAGGUGUAGAAUAAGUGGGAGGUCCCUGGCAUGUCCCCCCCCCCAGUGCUGCCCUCACACCCCAUUUCCUGCCAGGGGGCGGGGCAGGGUCCUCGGCCUUGCGGGCUGCUGGUGAAAUAUCGCUACUCUUAUCAUUUUUUUUCACUGACCCGGUUGGGGGGGGUAAGGGAGGGAGGGCGAGCGCCAAGGGGCUCUUGCUUCUGGCACCAAGCGCCUGGCAGGCACCCACUCGGGGACAGUGACAGGUGGGGAGUUUGACUGGGGCAGUACACCUGUCAAACAGUAACACAGGUGUCCUAAGGCGAGCUCAGGGAGGACAGAAGACUUAUAGGAGGAGGUGGAAUGUGGCUUCUCCAGAACAAUCCUGAGAACAAAGCAGGCAAAUAGAUGGCUGCUGAGAGGUAGACUGUCUGUCAAAGCAAAGUGGACCAGUCAGGGUAAAGAUCAGGGCAGCAGGGUUUUGGGAUGCCUGAGGUGUUUUGCUGGCUGGCUGCCCAGUGGGCCAAAGAGCUGUAACAUCUGCUAAUUGUGAGAGUUUAGGGGAAGUCAGCCCCCACCUCCGCGGGAGGACACGGGAAAGCGUCACCGGAAAGUCCUGCUCAAUCUUUCCUCAAACACCGGCAAAGUGGCAAAUCCUGAUCUCACUUUAACUUGUUACCUUUUAGAGUAUUUCCCGUACUUUUUUCCUGCCCUGCUGAUGGGCUGGUCUCCCAACACUUUGCUCUGCUAUGAGUAGUGGGCCACUAGGCUUAGUUGUCCCAGCCUUGGGAGGUCCCGGGAUGACUUAGAAGCAGACUGUCCUGUGGCUCCAGAAUAUUUUAGCAUCUCCACAGCUCUGCCUGAGCCCAGUCUGUGUCAGGGAGAGUUCACAGACAUUUUACAAGCAAUGAUACUCAGUUGCUUUGCCCAGCACUGGGACGAUAGCCCUGUCUGGUACAGCACCUCAGUCUGAAAGACGUGCCUAAUAAUUUUAGAAUUGUGUGAGGUCCUUUGUCAUUUACGUUUUGGGCCAAUUGUUGGAACUGCAGUCCUGUGAGAAGGUCUAAAACAGCAAAGGCCGAAUUUAGCUUUCAAGAGGACAAAUGGUAAAGGAAGGUAGGGUGGCUCCAUGCCCCACAUGGCCCCAUCUUCUCUGUCCCCCGUAUCAGAUUCAGUCCUCUCCUCGCCCUUCCUGAUAGCCCACCUCCAGGCUUACCCCAUUCUGCUUUGCUCUACAUUCUGUGAUGGCACCACACCUCUGCCAUGCCGGUUCCCUUGAGUCAGGGUGGUGAGAAGAUGGGUGCUGGGCACUCCGCACGGCCUGUGCCUGCUGCAACCGCCUGCCUGAGACCACCUCCACGGCCGCUGUCCUACCUCUGAUCACGAAGCCCACUGGUAACACAUGGUGGGAACUCAAGAGCCCUGAGCUGACAGCCAAGAAGUUGGGUGGGCUCCCCCAAGACUCUGGAGGACAGGCCCUGCUGCCUGCCUCUUCUAGAAGCCCCUUCCUUGUGGCUCUGCCUGUGCCUUGCACCCCACUCACUGACUGUCUUGUCCUUUAGCACAUUCCCUGCACAGACCAAAUGGGCAUCGCUCUGGCCCUGUCCCCAUUGUGAAUCGGGACCUGCACUGGGACAAGAUCCCAGGAGAGACUCCAGAGCUGGUACAGGUUUGGGAAUCUUCACUGCAAGGCUCCGUCUGCCAGUUGUACACAGCCCUGCGUAGUCAGUUGUGUGCUUGUAUGCUUCUGACCUGCCAAGUCACUUAGUGGUCACUAAGGACACGGCCCCACCACGUAUGUCCUCCCUGCAAGUUCUCAGGCCUUUUGUUCAUCACAGGUAUUCAAAAGCUAUCAAUUCAUGCUUGGCUCAUGUAACUUGUUUCCAAAAAACUUAGACUUUCACGUUUAUAAAAGGGCAACUAAUACUUCUCAAAAUGCAUAGAGUGCAGAAAUUGAGGCAAAAUUAAGGGGAACUAGAGAAGUUGUGCAUUAUUUUAAAACUUUAAGGUAAAUUGUAUUGUUCUAUACUUUAGCCUACAGAGGUCACACCAUGACACACUUAGCAGAGGUCAGCCUCCUGGACAUCAUGAGGAAACCACCUUGAUAAGUCACUUCCUACACUCUGACAGGGCAGGCGCUACCUCAUGGCUGACGUAUCAGGGAAAUUAUAGGAACAUUCGGGAGGACGUUCUCGAGGGCUGUGAAAGUGAUGAGGAUGCUGUGGUAACAAGUCGUCACCUGAAAAACAGGCUCAGGGACACCAACCACAGGGUCUUUCAUGUCUGUGCAUGGACUGCGGCCCAGGCCCAGCCUCUGCCCCAGCAAGCGGGAGAUGUAUGAGGAGCUCAGCUUCCUGCAGUCUGGCUGGAGGGAGAGUCUUUGAUCUUUUCUAUACCUUUGAGGCUCUCUCUGUGCUCACCUCUGCUCACAAAAGUGAGACAGCUCUUUGUUUUUCUUUUUCAGAGUUAAGCACAACAGAAAUAAAUAUUUAAAAUGGAUGAUAACAGCAUUUAUUUAGUAUUUUCUAUGCACCAGGCUCUGUACAAAAUGCCUCAUAUUCUUUUUUACACCAACUUGUGGCUUAUGUAAUUUAAAGCACCUAUGAAGCCCUGGAUCCUUUUUUUCAAGUGUGGAAGAACCUGAGGUCUAGAGUUUCCCAGCAACGUGGUCUGUUCCCUGGUGCCUGGCCCGUGCCUUUGCUUCUGUCUGCUCUACUGUCCGAGGCAGAGGCCUCUGUUAGGCUCUGAUUCUUCUCUUUGCUCCUGAGACCCUGGCCCUAGAGGUGAGGAAUAGUGAGGACCAUCAUGACCACAGCAACACAGCCACAAGAUUUCCACAAGGGAAGCCACGUGGCUCCCUGGAAAGUGCUGGCAGCUUCAGGGGGUUCAUACCCUGUGCUGACUGUGGCACAUCCCUCAGGUGAAGGCAUGACCCAAGAAAGGCAGAGAGGCACAGCUCACUUACUGCUGUCCC